CACGUAGGGUGCGAGCGUUGUCCGGAAUUAUUGGGCGUAAAGAGCUCGUAGGCGGCUUGGCAAGUCGGAUGUGAAAACUCCAGGCUCAACCUGGAGCCGCCAUUCGAUACUGCUAUGGCUAGAGUCCGGUAGGGGAGUGUGGAAUUCCCGGUGUAGCGGUGAAAUGCGCAGAUAUCGGGAGGAACACCGAUGGCGAAGGCAGCACUCUGGGCCGGCACUGACGCUGAGGAGCGAAAGCGUGGGGAGCGAACAGG
rnacentral:rRNA from 1 species